AGUGAACGCUGGCGGUAGGCCUAACACAUGCAAGUCGAACGGCAGCACCGUAAGAGCUUGCUCUUACGGGUGGCGAGUGGCGGACGGGGGAGGAAUACAUCGGAAUCUACUUUUUCGUGGGGGAUAACGUAGGGAAACUUACGCCAAUACCGCAUACGACCUACGGGUGAAAGCUGGGGAUCUUCGGACCUUGCGCGAUUGAAUGAGCCGAUGUCGGAUUAGCUAGUUGGCGGGGUAAAGGCCCACCAAGGCGACGAUCCGUAGCUGGUCUGAGAGGAUGAUCAGCCACACUGGAACUGAGACACGGUCCAGACUCCUACGGGAGGCAGCAGUGGGGAAUAUUGGACAAUGGGCGCAAGCCUGAUCCAGCCAUACCGCGUGGGUGAAGAAGGCCUUCGGGUUGUAAAGCCCUUUUGUUGGGAAAGAAAAGCAGCAGGUUAAUACCCCGCUGUUCUGACGGUACCCAAAGAAUAAGCACCGGCUAACUUCGUG
rnacentral:rRNA from 1 species